CAUUACAUUACAGAGAGAGUAAGAAUUGUCACCAGAAAUACACACUCGAUGCUCUACAUUCGAGAACAUUCACGCAGCGACAAAUCGUCUCGACAUUUACAGGACUGGAAACUGCAAACAUGACCUUCAUGGCCUUAGAUUCUUGAUACUUGUAUACUCAUGAUCUUUCUGCAGUUCAAGUGGUGCUUCUGGGGCAAAGCCUCACCUUCGGUGACACUUUCGUUGUCUCUCAAUUACGGUUAAAAAGUCAAGGCAGUUUAUACGGGUUCAGGCCGUUUGUGUGCCAAAGGCGGACGAUUGAACAUGGUUGUAAUGUUGAUAGCUGUUAUAUUGCCCGUGUGGAGCAUCCAUUACAGGUACACACCCUUUGACAGAUCAGCAUACAUUAUUAUAGCAAAAACAUGAUCUAAACAUACAUUUAAUAAGGUCUCCUACUGGUUCCAAAUAGAGGCAAUGUCUUAGAUGACGAAUGCACAAAAGAUUGGUGUCCCAACUGUUGACUGAGACAGAAGGGCGACAAUCUCUCACGGGUGGCACCAACACACGGGAAGUGAAAGAAAAAAAAGACAAAACACAAUUGCUCUGCUUGUAAUAGUUAUAAUAGUAAUAGCUACCAUUGGUAAGGUCGCUGGAUGCUGAUGUAGCUGGCUAACAUCCUCUUGAACAUGGUGAAACACUAUAUAAGCUGAAACAGUUGCGGCCACCUCCUGUGUGUGGAAGUUAUGGAGUUGUAAAACAUCUUUGUUACGGUCAUGUUGCUGAUAGUUGUUGUCAUUGCCUGCCUUGGAGGCUGCUGUGGCUGAAGAGCAGCUGGUCCAGGGAAGGAAGUGUAAUUUCAGAGGACCUUGCCCGUCCGAUGGGAAGCAGUUCUGUCUUCAAGGGAGUAGACGGCCAGUGACAGGGACAUGUGCCUUACGCCGAGCUCUGUGCAGAGGAGCAAGGGUGGACACGAAGAACCUGUGCAAGUUGCCCUUGACCUAUGCGACCAGCUGCGCACAACCCCGGACCUGUACCCGAGAUGCACAGCGCUGGUGCCUGAAGGGCAGGUCGAGUCCAGUGUAUGGAAACUGUGCUCUGCUGGCGGCCAUCUGUGACACGAAUGCAGACGUGGACUUCACCAACAGCUGUGGCAGAAUUUGGAAGGGACCCAGAAGAACAGGAGGCAAAGGAAGAAAAAAGCUCGGGAAGAAACUCGGUGGGCUACUCUUUAACAAGAUAUUCGGCUAGAGAACAAGGCCAAAUGUCAUAACCGGAAGCGCUUCAGUUGUUUCCUUUAGCCCUGGUUGGAAUAAAACACUAUACUCCUGAAAUUAUCCUCUUAGCGUUGUUUCUUCGACUUUUGUUGUUCUGUGGCUAUAUAUUAUUUAUACU